UUGAUGAAACGCACCGACCGCCCAGCGCCACUCCUCAUCCAUAUGCGUGCCUUAUCCACACCGUCACUUCCCCUUCUCACUCACCGCUGCUCCUCCUCUUCUCCAGCCACUAUCACCCAGUGAUGCUCUUCCUCUUCUACACGCAUUGCACGGACGAUGCACUCCACUCUCCUGGAGUGCAUGGUGGCUGGCCAGAGCCAAGGCAGCACCCCUUAUCAGCGCGAGGAACCCAGAGACGCCAUGGAUGGCGCCAUGGAUGCUCCUCUGCCGUUGGUCUGAUCUGGCCGUCCCGCCCCAGUCGUCGGCCCGCUCCGGAUCCGGCCAGCAGCCUUGCCUCUGAUCCGAUUCGGAUGGCCCUGCCUACAGCCUCCGCCACCUGCGGCAUGCCCCCCAGAGGUCCGGCUGAUCCAGCCUGUCCACGAAGUCCAGCCGGCCCUCCUCCCGGGCGCGUUCCUCGGCCGUUGCCACGUGCUCGGCCAACAACUUCGUUGAACUGGUGGUACACCCGGUGCAGCUUGCCCUGCACUCCCUGGACACAUUGCUUCUUCUACAUCUACCUGAUGCUGUCCCUUCUCUUCUUCUCUAUCAGGGCAGCAUCAACCCCCUUUUCCCUGUCGGUGAGGAACUCCAGCAGAGGAUGGACUGUGUUUUGGAGCUCCUCGAUCUGGCCUCCCCCGCUCAGGUGCCGCUCCAUGCUCCGGAUCUGGCCACAGUAGGCCUCGCCCCCGACGACCAACAGGCUCAGAUCCAUCCCUUCCCUCCUGUCCUCCACAUGCGUAGGGGCUGUGGCGCCAGAUCAAGGGAGCCUGCCAAUGGAGGUCACCGCCUCUCCGUCUCGUUCCGUCCGCCGCCGGAUCCACCACGUUGUGCCAUGGAUGGGCGCCUUGCAGCUCCUCCUCCCGUCACCUAAUCUGCCUGCCCGCCCGUGCUCCAGAUCCGGCUAACAGCCUCGCCUCCGACCCGAUUCAGACAGGCGCCCACACAAUCUCACUCCGCCACCUGCGCCUCAGGUCUGACCGAUCCUGCGUCGCUCAUCCUCGCUGCUUUUCUUGUUUAAGUUAGCCCCGCUGUUUCUUUUGCUCGCAGCUUGCGAGGAGGCCAGGGCGCGCCUUGUCCAGCCGCGGGCUACCUGCUGUGUCAGUCAGCCCAGCCGCCUCGACCCGGCCUUCUCCUUCUCCGCCCCCAGCUCUAGGCCUCAAACAACUCCCACUUUUUGGAAAUCCUCCGUAGAGCGAGGGGCACCGGUGGUGGUGGUGUUCGCUAGGUGGACUCUGUUCCAUUUUCUUUGCUCCUUCACGCUUUGGCGAUUCCUUCUGUUCCCUUUCUCUGCUUGUUUUGAUUUCUAAUGUGGCUUGUUGAUUCUCAUGGCAACUCCGAGGGACUAUUAUGCAAAAUCGCGCACGACGACGUACGACAGAAAUCCAAUUCUGUUUGUUAGCCGGGCUCGGCCAGCGCCCCGACGGCCCCGACACUAUGCCCAGGCGGAGGUAGAGGAGCUCCCCCACCCCGCGUCCUCCUCCUCCUCCUGGUCCGCCGACGACGCCUGGGUCCUCGGUCGCCAACCUGGCCGCGAGCUCCUCCAGCCGCAUCCCCAUGCAUAAAUGCGCGGAUGUGCUCCCCGGCACUGGCCGGCGGACGGCGCGGCACCGAAUCGACCGCCGCACGGGGUGGGGUGCCUCCUGGCGGCUGGGAUCGGGAGGCGAGGGAGAAAGAGGAGAGACGGUUGGGGUUAUGUUUCUUUUUUUACUUCAAAAAGGACCGCGGGUUUAAUACCGCAAACUGUAGGGAUUGUUUUGCAAAAUUUCUGAUCGAAACGUUUUCCCACUUA